rnacentral:rRNA from 1 species
UACGGAGGGGGCUAGCGUUGUUCGGAAUUACUGGGCGUAAAGCGCACGUAGGCGGCUUUGUAAGUUAGAGGUGAAAGCCCGGAGCUCAACUCCGGAAUUGCCUUUAAGACUGCAUCGCUAGAAUUGUGGAGAGGUAAGUGGAAUUCCGAGUGUAGAGGUGAAAUUCGUAGAUAUUCGGAAGAACACCAGUGGCGAAGGCGACUUACUGGACACAUAUCGACGCUGAGGUGCGAAAGCGUGGGGAGCAAACAGG